rnacentral:rRNA from 1 species
GAUGAACGCUGGCGGCGUGUCUAAGGCAUGCAGGUCGAACGCUCUUGUGCCGCAAGGUACAAGAGAGUGGCAAACGGGUGAGUAACACAUUGGUAACCUACCUUCGAGACGGCCAUAACCCGGAGAAAUCUGGGCUAAUAGCCGAUGGCGUGUUUGUACGAUGGUAUAAACACUAAAGGUUUACUCCGCUCGAAGAGGGGCCUAUGGCCUAUCAGCUAGUUGGUAAGGUAAUGGCUUACCAAGGCUACGACGGGUAGCGGGUGUGAGAGCACGACCCGCCUCACGGGGACUGAGACACUGCCCUGACUCCUACGGGAGGCUGCAGUCGAGAAUCUUCCGCAAUGCGCGAAAGCGUGACGGAGCGACGCCGCGUGA